rnacentral:rRNA from 1 species
GACGAACGCUGGCGGCGUGCCUAAUACAUGCAAGUAGAACGCACAGUUUAUACCUUAGCUUGCUACACCAUAGACUGUGAGUUGCGAACGGGUGAGUAACGCGUAGGGAACCUGCCUGGUAGCGGGGGAUAACUAUUGGAAACGAUAGCUAAUACCGCAUAAUAUUAAUUAUUUCAUGAUAAUUAAUUGAAAGGUGCAAUUGCACCACUACCAGAUGGACCUGCGUUGUAUUAGCUAGUAGGUGAGGUAACGGCUCACCUAGGCGACGAUACAUAGCCGACCUGAGAGGGUGAUCGGCCACACUGGGACUGAGACACGGCCCAGACUCCUACGGGAGGCAGCAGUAGGGAAUCUUCGGCAAUGGACGAAAGUCUGACCGAGCAACGCCGCGUGAGUGAAGAAGGUUUUCGGAUCGUAAAGCUCUGUUGUAAGAGAAGAACGGGUGUGAGAGUGGAAAGUUCACACUGUGACGGUAUCUUACCAGAAAGGGACGGCUAACUACGUG